GAAAUACUCUCUCCAUCCAACAAAAAUUGUCUCAAGUUUGUCAAAAUUUGCAUGUAUCUAGACAUGAUUUAGUGUAUAGAUGCAUUCAAAUUUGGUCUAAGCUGAGGCAUAUUUUGUUGGACGGAGGGAGUAGAAG
rfam:Brachypodium distachyon strain Bd21 chromosome 2, whole genome shotgun sequence.